AGUCGAACGGCAGCGCGGGGCAACCUGGCGGCGAGUGGCGAACGGGUGAGUAAUAUAUCGGAACGUACCCAAGAGUGGGGGAUAACGUAGCGAAAGUUACGCUAAUACCGCAUACGAUCUAAGGAUGAAAGCAGGGGAUCUUCGGACCUUGUGCUCCUGGAGCGGCCGAUAUCUGAUUAGCUAGUUGGUGAGGUAAAGGCUCACCAAGGCCACGAUCAGUAGCUGGUCUGAGAGGACGACCAGCCACACUGGAACUGAGACACGGUCCAGACUCCUACGGGAGGCAGCAGUGGGGAAUUUUGGACAAUGGGCGAAAGCCUGAUCCAGCAAUGCCGCGUGAGUGAAGAAGGCCUUCGGGUUGUAAAGCUCUUUUGUCAGGGAAGAAACGGUGGAGGCUAAUAUCCUUCGCUAAUGACGGUACCUGAAGAAUAAGCACCGGCUAACUACGUGCCAGCAGCCGCGGUAAUACGUAGGGUGCAAGCGUUAAUCGGAAUUACUGGGCGUAAAGCGUGCGCAGGCGGUUUUGUAAGUCUGACGUGAAAUCCCCGGGCUCAACCUGGGAAUUGCGUUGGAGACUGCAAGGCUAGAAUCUGGCAGAGGGGGGUAGAAUUCCACGUGUAGCAGUGAAAUGCGUAGAGAUGUGGAGGAACACCGAUGGCGAAGGCAGCUCCCUGGGUCAAGAUUGACGCUCAUGCACGAAAGCGUGGGGAGCAAACAGGAUUAGAUACCCUGGUAGUCCACGCCCUAAACGAUGUCUACUAGUUGUCGGGUUUUAAUUAACUUGGUAACGCAGCUAACGCGUGAAGUAGACCGCCUGGGGAGUACGGUCGCAAGAUUAAAACUCAAAGGAAUUGAC
rnacentral:rRNA from 1 species